CACGUAGGGUGCGAGCGUUGUCCGGAAUUAUUGGGCGUAAAGGGCUCGUAGGCGGUUUGUCGCGUCGGGAGUGAAAACUCAGGGCUUAACCCUGAGCCUGCUUCCGAUACGGGCAGACUAGAGGUAUGCAGGGGAGAACGGAAUUCCUGGUGUAGCGGUGAAAUGCGCAGAUAUCAGGAGGAACACCAGUGGCGAAGGCGGUUCUCUGGGCAUUACCUGACGCUGAGGAGCGAAAGUGUGGGAGCGAACAGG
rnacentral:rRNA from 1 species